UUUGUCAUAUUUGUCAUUAAUGUCAAUAGACACAUCCCAAAACGGAAAAUAGCAAAUGCAACAAGUCACUUGCGUUUGUAAAACACACAAGGAAAUAUAAAUAAAGUAGUUCAUCUAUCCAACUGUGGAUCAGACAAUGCUUUCUCCAGUGCCCUACAUAAAAGGUUCAACAGUUUUACGCUAAAUUGAAGAUUUACUGGGAAAAACUCAGGUCUUCGAGCCAUUCCUACGCAGCUACAUUCAAAACCGCUAAUCGAAAUUGAUUGUGACUUGUGGUUUAGCCAUGAUGAUCAUUUUCAGAUUCGAUGAAUCACUUGCUUGUCAUGAUGCUUC